rnacentral:lncRNA from 1 species
GUAAUAACACUUACUUAUUCGCUUAAUAAAUUACGUCACUUGCUUUCAUUUCGUAUAAAUUUUUAAAAAGCACGACAUUCAAACUCUGAUAUUUACAGACCAUCAAAUUAAUAAUAAGAAAAACAUUUUGAGUCUGAAAGUAAAUCUUGACACAAAAAAAUGCGGCAGAAUUUGUCUAACGAGAUGACUGUAUUAUAAGGCCAC